rnacentral:misc_RNA from 1 species
AGCAGCCGCGGUAAUUCCAGCUCCAAUAGCGUAUAUUAAAGUUGUUGCAGUUAAAAAGCUCGUAGUUGAAUUUCGGGAUCAAUUAAUUGGCCGUGCCUCUGGUACGUACUGAUUUUAUUGGUUUCUCCCUUCUGACGAACCAUGAUGUCAUUAAUUUGGUGUCGUGGAGAAUCAGGACUGUUACUUUGAAAAAAUUAGAGUGUUUAAAGCAAGCUAACGCUUGAAUACAUUAGCAUGGAAUAAUGAAAUAGGACGUUUGAUCCUAUUUUGUUGGUUUCUAGGAUCGACGUAAUGAUUAAUAGGGAUAGUUGGGGGCAUUAGUAUUCAAUUGUCAGAGGUGAAAUUCUUGGAUUUAUUGAAGACUAACUACUGCGAAAGCAUUUGCCAAGGAUGUUUUCAUUAAUCAAGAACGAAAGUUAGGGGAUCGAAGACGAUCAGAUACCGUCGUAGUCUUAACCAUAAACUAUGCCGACUAGGGAUCGGAUGAUGUUAAUUUUUUAAUGACUCAUUCGGCGCCUUA